rnacentral:lncRNA from 1 species
GGCUGUAUUCCUCCAUCAUCUUGUCCCCUUGCUCCUGGAAGGUGAUGAUGAUCAAGGCCACAAAGAUAUUGACAAAGAAGAAGGGGAACACCACAAAGUAGACGACGUAGAAAAUGGACAUCUCCAUGCGGUGAGACUUACGUGAAGGCAAAGGCUACCAGGGCCCCACUGACCACUAUGAAGUCGAGAAUAUUCCAGAGGUCACGGAAGUAGGCACCCUGAUGCAGGACGAGCCCCAGGUCAAUCAUCUGU